UUGGUCCUGGACCUAGCAUACAAUGUAGAUUUCUGUGUGGUUUAAACUACAGCUACAUUGUCUGCUGGGUUUCAGGCUGGCAAC
rnacentral:pre_miRNA from 1 species